rnacentral:piRNA from 1 species
GUGACCUUCCUAUUCUUGAUCACAGCCCCC